GGCUGCGCUCGUGAGCCAUGGACGCUGGGCCUGCGCAUCUGGAGGCUGUGCUCCGCAACGGGAGAGGCCGCAGCAGUGAGAGGCCUGCGUACCACAAAAAAAAAAAAAAAAAGGAAAAACAAACAAACAAACAAACAAAAAACAAUUCAAGAACAAAAAGGCAAACAGUGCAAUUUUUCCAAACGGCCAAAGGAAUAAAAAAAUUCUCCAAAUAACCAAUACGUUCAUGAAUAAAAUGAACGACGUCAUUACUCGCUCCAUAAAUGUAAAUCAAAACAUGAUGAGAUAUUCCUUCACACCCACCAGCGGGCUCGAAUUUUUUUUUAAGGAAAAUAAUGUCGACAAGGAUCUGGAGAAAUUGGAACCCUCAUACAUUGCUAGUGGGAAUGUAAAAUGGUGCUGCCAGUGUGGAAAACAUCUGGCAUUUCCUCCGAAAUUUAAAAUUAGAAACUAACAUUUGACCCAGAAAUUUCACUCCUAGGUACAUGCCCGAGAAAACUGAAAUCAAUGAUCCAAAAAAAAAAAAAAAAAAAAAGGAAAA